AAUGACUUCGGUUGUUAUUUAGUGGCGGAAGGGUUAGUAAUACAUAGAUAAUCUGUCCUCAACUWGGGAAUAACGGUUGGAAACGACCGCUAAUACCGAAUGUAGUAUGUUUAGGCAUCUAAAACAUAUUAAAGAAGGGGAUCUUCGGACCUUUCGGUUAAGGGAGAGUCUAUGGGAUAUCAGCUUGNUGRUGGGGUAAUGGCCUACCAAGGCUUUGACGKCYAGG
rnacentral:rRNA from 1 species